AACGAACGCUGGCGGCAUGCCUAACACAUGCAAGUCGAACGAGACCUUCGGGUCUAGUGGCGCACGGGUGCGUAACGCGUGGGAACCUGCCUUUAGGUUCGGAAUAACUCAGAGAAAUUUGAGCUAAUACCGGAUGAUGUCUUCGGACCAAAGAUUUAUCGCCUUUCGAUGUGCCCGCGUUGGAUUAGCUAGUUGGUGGGGUAAAGGCCUACGACGGCGACGAUCCAUAGCUGGUCUGAGAGGAUGAUCAGCCACACUGGGACGGAGACACGGCCCAGACUCCUACGGGAGGGAGGAGAGGGUAAUAGUGGAAAAUCGGCGAAGGGAUGAUGCAGCAAGGAUGGGUGAGCGAUGAAGGUAGUAAAGAAGUAAAGCGUAAGUAACUGAGAUGAUAAUGACAGUACCGAGAGAGAAAGCCCCGGCUAACUACGUG
rnacentral:rRNA from 1 species